GGAGAUGUAGCUCAGUUGGUAGAGUGCUUAUCUGGCAAGCAUGAAGAUCUGCGUUCAAUACCCAGCACCCCA
rnacentral:tRNA from 1 species